rnacentral:sRNA from 1 species
UCCAAUCCACCAAGGUCCUCGUAACAGU